CCUACGGGUGGCUGCAGUGAGGAAUAUUGGUCAAUGGGCGAGAGCCUGAACCAGCCAAGUCGCGUGAAGGAUGAAGGCUCUAUGGUUUGUAAACUUCUUUUAUAGAGGAAUAAAGUGAGGCACGUGUCCCUUUUUGUAUGUACUAUAUGAAUAAGGAUCGGCUAACUCCGUGCCAGCAGCCGCGGUAAUACGGAGGAUCCGAGCGUUAUCCGGAUUUAGUGGGGUUAAAGGGUGAGUAGGUGGGUUAUUAAGUCAGCUGUGAAAGUUUGUGGCUCAACCGUAAAAUUGCAGUUGAAACUGGUAGUCUUGAGUAUAGUUGAGGUAGGCGGAAUGCGUGGUGUAGCGGUGAAAUGCAUAGAUAUCACGAAGAAUUCCGAUUGCGAAGGCAGCUUACUAAACUAUAACUGACACUGAUGCACGAAAGCGUGGGGAUCAAACAGGAUUAGAUACCCGAGUAGUC
rnacentral:rRNA from 1 species